GCUUGUCUCAAAGAUUAAGCCAUGCAUGUCUAAGUAUAAACUGCUUAUACUGUGAAACUGCGAAUGGCUCAUUAAAUCAGUUAUAGUUUAUUUGAUGGUACCUCUACUCGGAUAACCGUAGUAAUUCUAGAGCUAAUACGUGCGUAAAUCCCGACUUCUGGAAGGGAUGCAGUUAUUAGAUACAAAACCAACCCGGGCAACCGGUCCUUUGGUGAUUCAUGAUAACUUUGCGAAUCGCAUAGCUUUAAUGCUGGCGAUGGGUCAUUCAAAUUUCUGCCCUAUCAACUUUCGACGGUAGGAUAGAGGCCUACUGUGGUGAUAACGGGUAACGAAGAAUAAGGGUUCGAUUUCGGAGAGGGAGCCUGAGAAACGGCUACCACAUCCAAGGAAGGCAGCAGG
rnacentral:rRNA from 1 species